rnacentral:rRNA from 1 species
UGGGGGGGGGCCUAAUAAUGCAAGUCGAGCGAAUGGAUUAAGAGCUUGCUCUUAUGAAGUUAGCGGCGGACGGGUGAGUAACACGUGGGUAACCUGCCCAUAAGACUGGGAUAACUCCGGGAAACCGGGGCUAAUACCGGAUAACAUUUUGAACCGCAUGGUUCGAAAUUGAAAGGCGGCUUCGGCUGUCACUUAUGGAUGGACCCGCGUCGCAUUAGCUAGUUGGUGAGGUAACGGCUCACCAAGGCAACGAUGCGUAGCCGACCUGAGAGGGUGAUCGGCCACACUGGGACUGAGACACGGCCCAGACUCCUACGGGAGGCAGCAGUAGGGAAUCUUCCGCAAUGGACGAAAGUCUGACGGAGCAACGCCGCGUGAGUGAUGAAGGCUUUCGGGUCGUAAAACUCUGUUGUUAGGGAAGAACAAGUGCUAGUUGAAUAAGCUGGCACCUUGACGGUACCUAACCAGAAAGCCACGGCUAACUACGUGCCAGCAGCCGCGGUAAUACGUAGGUGGCAAGCGUUAUCCGGAAUUAUUGGGCGUAAAGCGCGCGCAGGUGGUUUCUUAAGUCUGAUGUGAAAGCCCACGGCUCAACCGUGGAGGGUCAUUGGAAACUGGGAGACUUGAGUGCAGAAGAGGAAAGUGGAAUUCCAUGUGUAGCGGUGAAAUGCGUAGAGAUAUGGAGGAACACCAGUGGCGAAGGCGACUUUCUGGUCUGUAACUGACACUGAGGCGCGAAAGCGUGGGGAGCAAACAGGAUUAGAUACCUUGGGUAGUCCG